CGUAGGGUGCGAGCGUUGUCCGGAAUUAUUGGGCGUAAAGAGCUCGUAGGCGGUUUGUCACGUCUGCUGUGAAAUCCCGAGGCUCAACCUCGGGCCUGCAGUGGGUACGGGCAGACUGGAGUGCGGUAGGGGAGAAUGGAAUUCCUGGUGUAGCGGUGGAAUGCGCAGAUAUCAGGAGGAACACCGAUGGCGAAGGCAGUUCUCUGGGCCGUAACUGACGCUGAGGAGCGAAAGCGUGGGGAGCGAACAGGAUUAGAUACCCUGGUAGUCCACGCCGUAAACGUUGGGCGCUAGAUGUGGGGACCUUUCCACGGUUUCCGUGUCGUAGCUAACGCAUUAAGCGCCCGCCUGGGGAGUACGGCCGCAAGGCUA
rnacentral:rRNA from 1 species